AGCUCCAAUAGCGUAUAUUAAAGUUGCUGCAGUUAAAAAGCUCGUAGUUGGAUUUGUGGCGCGGUCGUCCGGCGGGGCUUCCGGGUUCGUUGUAUCCCGGGGCCGUUUGUCUGGGUUCUUGGCCGCCCCAUUCUUCGGUAGCGUGUCGCUGGCAUUAGGUUGUCGGCUUCUUCGCGCCGAUCGUUUACUGUGAAAAAAUUAGAGUGUUCAAAGCAGGCUUAGGCCGUUGGAUACAUUAGCAUGGAAUAAUGAGAUAGGGCCACGGCGGUCUAUUUUGUUGGUUUGCACGUUGUGGUAAUGAUUAACAGGAACGGUUGGGGGUAUUCGUAUUCAAUUGUCAGAGGUGAAAUUCUUGGAUUUAUGGAAGACGAACUACUGCGAAAGCAUUUACCAAGGAUGUUUUCA
rnacentral:rRNA from 1 species